UACAGAGGAGCCAAGCGUUGUCCGGAUUGACUGGGCGUAAAGCGCACGCAGGCGGGGGCGCGCGUGGGGGGUGAAAUCUGGCCGCUUAACGGCCAGGCGCCAUCCCAUACGGCGCGCCUGGAGCCUUGCAGAGGUCGGUGGAAUUGCCGGUGUAGUGGUGAAAUGCGUAGAUAUCAGGAGGAACACCUGUGGCGAAAGCGGCUCACUGGACCAUAACUGACGCUGAGGAGCGAAAGCGUGGGGAGCGAACAGG
rnacentral:rRNA from 1 species